GGCUCAGUGGUAGAGCACUUGCCUGGCAUGCAUGAGGCUCUAGGUUCAAUCCCCAG
rnacentral:tRNA from 1 species